AUUGAACGCUGGCGGCAGGCCUAACACAUGCAAGUCGAGCGAGCGGCGGACGUGUGAGUAAUGUAUGGGGACUGCCCGAUAGAGGGGGAUAACUACUGGAAACGGUGGCUAAUACCGCAUACUAUCGGAUAACCCAUAUGGGAUUAGCUAUUAGGUGGGGUAAAGGCUCACCUAGGCGACGUUCUCUAGCUGGUCUGUGAGGAUGAUCAGCCACACUGGGACUGAGACACGGCCCAGACUCCUACGGAGGCAGCAGUGGGGAAUAGUGCACAAUGGGCGCAAGCCUGAUGCAGCCAUGCCGCGUGUAUGAAGAAGGCCUUAGGGUUGUAGAGCACUUUAAGUUGGGAGGCGUUACCAACAGAAUAAGCACCGGCUAACUUCGUGCCAGCAGCCGCGGUAAGUC
rnacentral:rRNA from 1 species